AUGACAGAGCAGCCUUGCUGCCCUAAGAGUGCUCUCAUCCUGUGUGAGCAGCCCCUCUCCUGCUCUGUCUGCACCUCUGCCACCAGCUCCUGCUGCCCUUUGUGGAGCCUUGCAGCUGCUGAGCAAACCCAGUGGGACCUUCUCUUGUGGCUGGUCACCUUUCCCGUGGCUCAUCUGGCAAAACCCAAGAACUCAUCUGGGGACAUCAUCACCUCUGCCUCGGCCGUGGCAAAGGACAGCUCAGCCUCGUGGUGUGGCUGCGGUGAAGCCUGUGGAUGGUCGCUGGACAGAAAGCUGCAGAGACCGCUCCUGGGGAAGUCCCGGACGCUGCCCAGCAUCCCGCAGUCCCCGGUCCUGAGCAGGCUUCCCCUCCUUGACUCCACGGCAUAUAGGGAGGAGAUGCCGGAGCAGAAGUCCUACAAGAAGCACUCGGCCUCUGAUGGCCAGAAGGGCUGCACGGUCCCAUCUGCCGGUGAGUGCCAGGGAGAGCUUUGUGCCCGUUCUGCCUGGGGGCCAGCAAAAUCUUACCCAACGUGUCCUUGUUCUGCAGGGGUGCGAACAGCAAGGUAAAUCCAAUCCCUGUCUGUAGGGGGUUUAUGCUGCCUCAAAAACAAAUGUUCUUGGUGAGAUUUAUUUUUUUUUUUUAUCCACUUCUGAGGCUUUCUUUGAGCCUGUUAUUUAAACCUUCCCACCUUUUAUUACACCGAUGAAAAAGCCGCAUGGGGCUGCAAGAGCCCUUGGCUCGGAGGUGAUGCUCGGAGCAUCAGAGCUGGGUCUCCUGGCCACAUGUGAACUGCUGCUCCGGGUUCCUCCGGCCUCCCCAACAGACCCAGGUGCCUUCCUUCUGCAGCAUCAAGUGGCUUCAGGGUGCCCGUUGCUGUCCCCAUGGGGAGCAGAGGCUGGGUGGCACCGCGUGGCUGUGCCGUUGUCCUGGCCCGCAGUGGGGGUUUGCUGUGGCAGAUGCUCCCAGCCUGGGAGCGUGUGUUGGCCUUCGUGUCAACAGAGGAUUUUUUACUGUGUUCUGCUCUUGUGCUGAUCCUGAUGAAAUACUAAUAUGGUUGGACCAGCUGCUCUGAGCAAGUUUAUUGGCAAAACUGUUGAUGGGCAAAGUGUUUCACGCUUCUGGUGCCAGCAGAAUCACGCUGGGGCCAUAAGAACGAUGGGGAAAGCGAUUAGCACUGAAACAGAGAUAAGGCUCGCCAGCCAGGGCUGACAAUCCAGUGCAAAAUAAAACCCUUAUAAAAUAGCUCCCGUCUACCA
rnacentral:lncRNA from 1 species